UGCGGGGCGAGUUCCGGUCCCGGCGCGGUCAAGGAGCCCCGGGCCUGCAGGCCUCCGCCUCGAGUGCCGGUCGCACCUCCGCCGCCCGCCCCCGGAGAGCCACUCCUCCUCGCAGGGACUCCAGGCCCCUCCCGUAUCGACGUCACGGAGUUGGGGAAAGCCGGCCGAGCCCUGUCCGUGGGAAUCAGCACAGCACUGCAGGAAAUCCCCGAGUUUCAACAAUUGGGUGUGGUUUCCCUUAAGGAACACAAGGAAGCUCUUCAUCCUGCUUGGAUUCUGCCUUUAACCCUUGGGAGUGUCCUCCAACACAUCCGCACCACCAUCUAGACCCAAGAAACCAAGGCCAGAACACAGGUCAAGAUGGGGUUUAUUUUCUCAAAAUCUAUGAAUGAAAACAUGAAAAACCAACAGGAGUUUAUGCUUAUGAAUGCUCGACUCCAGAAUCAAGAUGAAAUGCAUUAUUAGUUAUCUGGUGAAUGGGUGUGUUUAUACCUCCAAUCCUGAUACUUGUGUACAAGUUCCAUACUGAAGACAUGCUGCUUAGAGUGUAGGGGAAAGGACCAGAAUGAGAGAUUCAGCUACAUUUCAUACCAGUGCCCAGGUUCCUAACUGGCUGUACAUUGUACUCACCCAGGGCCCUGGGAUGAUGUUUAGCCCCACCCAGACCAAUUAGAUCUCUUCAUGGUGGGGCAUGUUGUUAUUGCUCUAAGCUCUCCAGGGGACUGUAAUGCAUAGCCUGGUUUGAGACUUCUGCCUUUCCUUUUUCUAUGAUGCUACAUAAUUAUAGUUAAUGAUUGGCAGGAAUUUAGUAUAAUGCAUAUUGAAGAUGGAACCAAGUAAGUUUUUAACUUAAUCAUGAAAUUAAAUCAGUCACUGGAGUCUGACUAAUAAAAACUUAUAAAAGGCUUCAAAUCAGAAAGUUUUCUUUAUGAACAACUUUAGUUCAAAUUGAGCUGGAGGGGAUUCAUAUGACUAGUUAUAAUGAUAUUUUCAGAUCAUCAGUAAACUUCAGUUUCUCAUUGCUUUGUUUAGACUCUGUUACUGAGGAUGGUAGAUAGAUAGCUAUACUCAGUAAACUAUCACUCAGAUAAAAAUUAAUACUUUUGGGAUCCCUGGGUGAUUUAGCGGUUUUGCACCUGCCUUUGGCCCAGGGCAUGAUCCUGGUGGGAUCGAGUCCCACACUGGGCUCCCUGCAUGGGGUCUGCUUCUCCCUCUGCCUGUGUCUCUGCUUCUCUCUCUCUCUGUCUCUCAGGAAUAAAUAAAAUCUUUAAAAAAAAUUUUUUUUUAAUAAAUACUUUCUUAAAAUGCCAUUAGACGGCAUACCUAAGCUAACUUUAUAUCACCUGAGUGGCUAAGAAGCAUUUUGAUGUUAUAGAAUAGGAUGGAAACUGGAAGUAGAGAGCAGAAAAAAAUGAAGGAAGAUUCCAUAGGUCCUUGCUGUGCUUUAGUGCUAUGUACGCAAAGCACUUAUGGUCCAUGUAAAGAUAACUCAGGUAACUUAUUCACUUUACUGUAAAUAGGCAACAAACUAAAAAUUUUAAAAUACAUGAAAGCCAUCCUUUGACUUGUAUGUCUAUAGUUAGAGUUUGGUGUUAUAGAAAGGAAGCAUAGUUAUAAACCAAAAAAUAGAUAGUUAUUUAAUAUAUAUAAAAUGAUAAGCUAAGCAGGACUCAGAAAUGUAUAAGGUACAGGCUCUGUAUUCAAGGAACUUCUCAUCUAGUUUGCUGGAAAGAGAAUGAGUUAUGCUGCAAUAACCAGAUGGUUGUGUAUGUGUAUGUGGUAAGCUGAAUACUGGCCCCCUAAAGAUGUCCAUACCCUAAUCCCCAGAACUUUGAAUAUAUAACCUAAUGUGGCAAAACGGACCUUGCAGAUACAACUGGGGGAGCAGACCUUGAGAUGGGAAAAUUAUCCUUGAUUAUCCAUGUGGAUCCAAUCUAAACACACAAAUUCUUAAAAGCAUAAAGGUAAAGACAAAGAAAAAGAAAGAAACACUAUAUGAUUCCACUCUUGUAAUUUAAGAAAAAAAAAUAAGCAGAGAAAAAAAAAUAAAAACAGGCUCUUAACUAUAGAGAACAAACUGAGGGUUACCAGAAGGGAGGUGGGGGGGAUGGGUGAAUUAGAUGAAGGAGAUUCAGAGUGUAUAAUAGUUUUUAAUAAAAGAUACACUUAUGAUGAGCACUGAGAAAUGUAUGGAAUUGUUGAAUCCUUUAUGGUACACCUGAAACUAAUAUAGUACUGUAUUGUUAAGUAUACUAGAGUUAAAAACAAUUUUUUAAGUAGCUGCAUGUCCAGUGGGGAGCCCAAUGCAGGGCUUGAACUCAUGACCUUAGAUAGAAACCAAAGCUGAGCUGAGAUUCAUAUUCAGAAAUGGUAGGAAAUCGAAGUGAAAUAAAAAGGUCAUUGGUCCCAUAGGCACUUGCUUCUACAAAUGACAAAGAAAGGUCAGGCCACCAAGUUGAUCUUUUGCUGCCUAGUCCUUCCAUGCUGACAGUGGGUCUAGGACCCUUCCUGCAAUUAAUUCUCUAAAGGGGAGGAGACACACUGUCUUUAGGUUUGAUCACAAACUUCAGUGAGACCAAUGAAUGCCAUUAUAGACUACCAAAAAGCUUUUCUUUUUCUUUUUCUUUUUCUCCCUUAGCUGUAUAUUCUGUUUUCAUAAAUCUCCUCCUGGGUUUUAAUUCAUUUUUAGUUCAUUGCGUGAACAUAGGUGGUUACUUUACCUAUUAACUCAGUAAAACAUGUUCUGAAUGCCUUGGGACGGAGUUUGGAUGCAAAAUUGUUAAUUAAAAUAUGAUACUAUGGCCUUAAUGAUUUUAUUUUCUCUAUAAAUCUUUUUUUUUCUCUAUAAAUCUUAAUAUGUACUCUUUCUCCCUCUCACCCUACCUUAUUCCAAAAAGAAUUUCAUGCAGGCUUGCUGUUAAAAUCUUUAGACUUCUCAUAUUUAUUUUGUUUCUACUCCAUUUUCUUCCUUAAGAUAAUUAAGGAUGCAGGGCAGCAGAGGAAGGAGGAUUUUUUAAAAAAGAUUUUAUUUAUUUAUUCAUGAAACGCAGACACACACACACAGGCAGAGACACAGGCAGAGGGAGAAGCAGGCUCCAUGCAGGGAGCCUGACAUGGGACUUGAUCCCGGGUGCCCAGGAUCAGGCCCCUGGGCUGAAGGCUGCGCUAAACCACUGAGCCACCCGGGCUGCCCAGAAAGGAGGAUUCUUUUUUUUUUUUUUAAGAUUUUAUUUAUUUAUUUAUUCAUGAGACACACACACACACACAGAGAGAGAGAGAGAGAGAGAUGCAAAGACACAGGCCAAGGAGAAGCAAGCUCCACGCAGGGAGCCCGACAUGGGACUCGAUCCUGGGUCUCCAGGAUCACACCCCGGACCGAAGGUGGCGCUAAACCGCUGAGCCACCAGGGCUGCCCGAAGGAGGAUUCUUAAGAGAGAAAAAAUACCCCCUAUAAAUAUCCUUAAUACUUAAAGGGAACAAUCCAAAGUAUCAUUAUUCUUCAAUAAAUUUACUAGAUGCAAAAUUAUAGUCAAACCACAUUUUCAGAAAUGCUUUAGUUGGAAAUAAUUUUAGAUUUGCAGUAAAGUUACAAAACUAGUAUAGAGAGUUUAUAGAUACCCUUUGUAUAUUAGCUUCCUCUAAUAUUAGAAUUAACCACUUAUUCAGAGUCCUGGCUCGUUUUAUUGGAGAAUAGUCCUUAGAAAUCAAGAUCUAGAUUCUAGGUGUGUUUGUUCCUAUGGUCAUUGUUCCUAGCUCCAUUCAGCAAAGACAUGUACAUAUACUAACCCGUGCAUAUACGCACACUAUAAACCAGGAGUUCAUACUGAUAUCUCUGAUUGCAAUCCAGUAGGAUGUUUCAUUCUAGUCUUUCCCCUUUCUUUGUAAGUUCUUUCUCAGACAGUAAGAAAGCUUACUUUAAUUUUCUACAGUGUAUUCACUUUAUAUAGCCCCCUUCCUACACUCUCCCUAUAGGUGUCUAAUUUCUCUAGUCUUUGAUUAUCCUUCUUGAAUUUCUUUUGUACAAUAAACAGAUACACAUGUAUUGUUUUACAUGAAGGGUAGCAUGCCAUUGAUACCCUUUUAUGCCUUGCUUUUUUUCAUUUAGCAGUAUAUCCUGCAAACUAUUCCAAAGCUGUUCAUAGAGACCUUUCUCAUUUUUUGAACAUGGUACUCCACUGUGUGGAAUAUCAUUAUUUAUUCAAGUGAUUAUGACACUAUAUUAGUUUCCUAUUCCUGUGACAAAUUAUCACAAACUUGGUGACUUCAAAAAAAAAAAACCCACAGAUUGGUUAUCUUACAGUUCUGAAAGAAAUUUAAAAUGCUCACUGGAUGAAAAUUAAAGUGUCAACAGGGCUGCAUUCCUCAUGGAGGGUCUAGAGGAGAAUCCUUUCCUUGUCUUUUCCAGUUUCUAGAAGCUGUCUGAAAUCCUUGGCUCAUGUCCCUUUCUUCCCUCCUUAAGCCAGCAGUGUAGCAUCUUUACCUCUGACUCUCUUCCCUCCAUCUUUCAUUUAUGAGGACCCUUGUGAUUUUAUGAGACCCACUUGGAGAUUUCAGGGUGGUCUCCCCAUUUCAAAAUCCUUAACUAAAUCACACCUGCAAAAUCCCUGUUUGCCAUGUAAGGUAAUAUAUUCACAGGUUCUGGGGGUUAGAACAUAAAUUUCUUUGAGGGCCUGUUAUUUUGCCUACCACAAGUACUUAUUUUCAGUUAUUUUGCUAUUGCAAAUAGUGCUGCAGGGAAUACCUUGUGCUUUCACAUUCUUUAUGUUAUUGACUCUGCAUUUUGAGUCUUUGUUUAGAAAGCCUUUACCUAUACCAAAGUUAAAGAGGUAGUCAUCCAUGUUUCCCUAUGGCACUUGUAUAGCUUCACUUACUUAUGUUUAGAUCCAUAAUCCAUUUGGAGUUUGUUCUUGUGAGAUGUGGAUCCAAUUUUCUUUCCCAAAAUGGCUACCUAGUAGUACAUACAUUCAUUAAAAAGUACAUCUUAUAAAAAACAGAAAGGAAAGAAAACUUCCAAAUUCAUUCUGUGUGGCCAACAUUCCCCUGAUACCAAAACCAGACAGACUCCACUAAAGACGAGAACUACAGGCCAGUAUACCUCAUGAACAGAGAUGCAAAAAUUCUCAAUAAAAUACUAGCAGACCAAAUCCAACAAUACAUUUAAAAAAAAUCAUUUACCAUGAUCAACUGGGAUUCAUUUCUGGGUUGCAAGAGUGGUUCAAUAUUCGCAAGUCAAUAAACAUGACUUACCACAUUAAUAAAAGAAAGGAUAAGAACCCUGUGAUCACUUCAGUAGAUGCAGAAAAAGUAUCUGAAAAAAUACAACAUCCAUUCAUGAUAUGAACCCUCAACAAAGUAUAAAUAGAACAUACCUCGACAUCACAAAGGCCAUAUUCAAAAAAUCCACAGCUAAUAUCAUCCCAAAUGAGGAAAAACUAAGAGCUUUUCCCCUAAGGUCAGGAACAAGACAGGAAUUCCACUCUCACCACUUUUAUUUAACAUAGUACUACUGGAAAUCCUAGCCACAGCAGUUAAACAACCUAAAUAAAAGGCACUCAGAUCUGCAAGGAAGAAGUAAAACUUUCACUGUUUACAGAUGACAUGAUAGUCUACAUAGAAAACCCAAAAGACUGCUAGAACUGAUGAACAAAUUCAGAAAAGUCACAGGAUACAAAAUCAACAUAGAGAAAUCUGUUUCAUUUCUAUACUAUAUCUAUACUAUUCUGUACUAUUCUAUGUUCCAUUUCUAUAAUGAAGCAGCAGAAAGAGAAAUCAAGAAAUCAAUCCAUUUACAAUUGCACCAAAAAGAGUAAGAUACCUAGGAAUAAACUUAAUGAAAGAGGUGAAAGACCUGUACUCUGAAAACUAAAACACUGAAAAGAAAGAAAAGAAAGAAGACACAAAAAAAUGGAAAGACAUUCCAUGCUCGUGAAUUGGAAGAACCAAUACUGUUAAAUACUAUACUAUACUUCCCAAAGCAACUCAUAGAUUUAAUGCAAUCCAUAUUAAAAUACCAGCAGCAUUUUUCACAGAGCUAGAAUAGACAAUACUAAAAUUUGAAAGGAAAAAAAAAGUCCAUCUUUACCCCCCAGUGAUUUGAGAUGUCACCUUUAUUAGUCUUCCGUGUAUACUCGACACUAUCUCUGGACAUGCUAUUUCACUGGCCAAUUUGUCUAUUCAUGUACCAGUAUUAUAAUUUUAGUAUGUUUUAAUGCCUGGUUAGGCUAAUAUGGCCUUGUAGUUUAUUUUUUCAAUGUUUAUUACAUAUUUGCAUUUUCAUAAAAACUUUAAUAUCAAUCUGUCCAACUCUAUAAAAAUAGUUUAUUGAUUUUUAAAAUUAGGACUAUAUGCAAUUAUAAAUUUAUCUAGGAAGAACUGUUGAGUCAUUCUACCCAAGAACAGAGUAUGUCUUUCCCUUUAAAAGAGUAUUUUUAUGUCUUCCAGGAGUUUAUAAAUGAACUACAAUAUAAGGCAAAGUGGGAUUUUUUUUGUGUGUGUGGAAAAAAAAGGAGACAUUUAAGUUAAAUUUCAAAAUUUCCUGUAAAAUGUUUAUGAAAAGAAUCUUUCAGUUGAAUUCCUUGCCUAUUUGUCAAAGGACCAUAUUAGCAGUGCAUAUGAUGGUGGGACAUUCUUACUCUGAAAUGUGCAGGACAGAAGAAGGGAAGAGGAACGGCAGAACUUCCAGUGGCACAACUGGAAAUCUAGAAAGGAAAACUGAGCCCAGACUGCUGCCUUCUGGAUACAAGGCCAGGAAAUGGCUACUAAGGACCCUGGAUAUAUUAUUCUCUGUGUAUGCAACCAAAAAAUCACAGGCACUGGGGGCAGACACACGUAGGACCGACCUUGGCUCCAUCACUUACUGGUUUUAUGACCUUGGAUAAGUGAUAUAUGUUCUCUGAACCUCAGCUUCAUCACUAUGAUGGGGAGAAGGAUACCCAAGUACUACCCUGUAGCCAAAGGAGAUGCUCAAAAAUGUUCCCUUCUUUCUCAUGUAUCUUCUACUUUCCUCUCUCUUAUGUGCUCACAGUCACUACUUCAUUCUUUAUUCCAUCUCUAAUUUCAUUCUCCAUUUUUAUUCUUCAUCAUUUUUUUUUUUAUCUUUCCCCAUCUCUAUAAUGUCAAUUCUGUGGUCAGGCAUAUGCUUUUCUAGUUCCCUUUCCCCUCUGCAUUGUAAGAUGUUUAGCACUUUAAACAGUCAAUCCUGAUAAUGGGGAUAGGGCACCCUUUAGCCUGUCAGCCCCACAACCUCAUUGGGACUCCGGAUCCCACUGAGCAUGCUCAGCCAUAAGACACUGAGACAUAUGCAGGUGUCCCUUCUAGAGCCAUAGCAGAACCGAAGUCUUUCCUCAAGGUUCCUGUAACCUGAGCCAGAGAACAUAAACAUAUUACUACGAAAAGCAAUUGCUUCUUAUUCAUUCCUUUUGUACAUACGAUAUCUUAGGUUCUUUCUUUUUUUUUUUUUUUUCAAAGAUCUAUCCAUUUAUUCAUGAGAGAGACACACACACAGAGGCAGAGACACAGGUAGAGGGAGAAGCAGGCUCCACGCAGGGAGCCUGAUGCGGGACUCGACCCUGGGACCCCAGGACCACGCCCCGGGCCAAAGGCAGGAGCCAAACCACUGAGCCACCCAGGGAUCCCCAAUAUCUUGGGAUUCUUAUGCUCCCCCCCCCCCAGGAAAUUUCUGAACAAAGAAAAAAAUCCCAAUUUAAUUAGUUCACUAAAUACUAAUUUACUUGUGAUGUAUGUGGAACACGGCAAAGUAAUCAGCACAAAGUUAGGAAGGUAAUGAGUAAGCAUUGUCCUGAAGAAACAAUAAUUGGGAGGAAAAAAGUUCCUCUCUUAAGAGCCAUAUAUUUUUUUUAAAGAUUUUAUUUAUUUAUUUAUUUAUUUAUUUAUUUAUUUAUUUAUUUAUUUAUUUGAGAGACAGAUAGCAGGAGCAGGGGAGAGGGAGAAGCAGACUCCCUGCUGAGUGACGCAGGGCUCCAUCCCAGGACCCUGCAGUCAUGACCUGAGCUGAAGGGAGACCCUUAACCAUCUGAGCCACCCAGGCACCCCAAGAGUCAUGUAUUUAAAUGUGACUGACUAUAAUGGCAAUUUAAAGUAUACUUUUCUUAUAGAAUUGUUGAAUCACUAUAUUGUACACUUGAAACUAAUACAACACUGUAUGUUAACUGGAAUUAAAACUUAAUAAAAAUAAA